UAACUAGAUAACUCCGUUGGUUAGAUCGUGGUGCUGAGAACACCAAGGUUGCAGGUUCGAUCCCUGUGCUGCAUAU